AGGACGAACGCUGGCGGCGUGCUUAACACAUGCAAGUCGAACGGAAAGGCCCUUCGGGGUACUCGAGCGGCGAACGGGUGAGUAACACGUGAGUAACCUGCCCCUAGCUCUGGGAUAGCUCCGGGAAACCGGGAUUAAUACCAGAUACGACCACUUUAGACAUCUGUCGUGGUGGAAAGGAUUCCGGCUAGGGAUGGGCUCGCGGCCUAUCAGCUUGUUGGUGGGGUAACGGCCUACCAAGGCGACGACGGGUAG
rnacentral:rRNA from 1 species